GGAAAGGAGAGGAACAGGCAGGGAAUGGGACCUGGUCCACCCAAGGUUGCCAUUUGGCUGGGGAUCAGAAGGAGCUUGGGAGCUGGCCAGAGUGAGUUCUGUGGCUGGACACUCAGGAGCAACAUCAGGAAGACCCUCUGUCCAGUGGGUCAUUGCAGGGACUCAGUGGGAGGAGCUGCAGAUUGGAAUUCCAUGGAGACACAGGUUGGCCGCAACCCUGGGACCCUGGAGCUCUCAGCCCUACCUGGCCUGUGCUCCUGAGGCUCAUCUGAGCUGCCCCUGUGGGGACACCACAACCCUUAGGGUAGCAGCUAUGGAGUGUCUGCACCUGGGGGCACAUAGCCCUGCCUGGGAGUGGAGAGAAGAGGGGCUGGCUGGGCACUGGGAGCCGGUUGGCUGUCCCCACCAGCAGUGCGUUGCUGCUGGGGUACGCUCCUAAAAGGAGGCUGAGACCUUAAAGUACAAACCCACCCCUCCAGGCCUAGGUGUCCUUACGGUGAUGGUGUAUUUGUCUAAAAAGGAGGACAGCGCACAUUUUCUUUAGCAGUUUGUUAGCUGGAUUUAUAACCUGAGAAUAAUGUGGCCCGAACUGUACACCUGCUCAGCACUGACCGUCUAUCCUGCCCAGACAUGAGUGGCCAUCUCGGGCAGCUGACCCCUAGCCAGCGUGUAUCGGCGUGCAUCACCGGAGAUCCCAUGGCUUCCUUCGCAGCUUCCCAGUCCCACUUCUGCACCCCCAGGCCUCCGGUGGCCCCCCGCCUUUGUCCCAGGGUCCUGUGCCAUCCCCUGCAUGUUCGAUUGCAGCCUCCCUGGAGGCCAUGGCUGGCUCUCAGCUUGUCAUUGGUUUUAUGUGUUCACUGCGGCCUGUGUCCUAAUCCGGCCAGCCGGACAACGAUCCUGUCCCUGCAAUGGGAAGCAACCCUCCCCGUAGGAGCUGUGGCCUUGCCUGGAGUCACAUUGCCAGCUCUGGACUCGCUCGCUGUGCGACCUUGGGACGCAGCUUUGCUGCUCUGAGCUGUUUUUCUCUCCGGAAAUCUCAUAAUAAUAACGGCACCUCUUGCAGCGCAGAGGCAGAAUGUGGAACGCGGAGCCCACGUGUGCCCGAAGCUUGGCAGGCGAGCCGAGCAUUGGGGAGGGCGCGAGUGACAGCAUUCGCUGCUGUUUACAGAUGAGCAAACGCCAAGCUCAGCGAGGGGGCGCGGUUGCCCAAGGUCACACAGCUAGGAGAAGCAGGGAGGUCCACGCCGGGUCGAUGAGACUUGAGCGCUAACCGGUGGAUGCUCCGAUCGCCAAGUUGCUACCCCCAGAACCUCGUCUAGCCCAGAGGGGCCUCGGGUGCCCGCAGCCACGUGGAGGCAGCAGAGACUGCAGAACUCGAGCGGCGUGGAAUGGGUUAACGUGCCCGCUGCAUUGGGCCGGCCUCCGCAAGAAGCAGCCAAUGGACGCCGGGGGCUACGAGUACCGGGGAUCGAACUCACGACUGCCUGCUUGCAAGGCAGGUGCUUAUGCCGCUGAGCUAAAUCCUCAGCCCUUCACCUAUAUUUUUAAGCAUCCUCAUAUGACGUGCCACACUGGAUUUUGGAGUACACACAGAGAUGGGAGGAGCUCCAUACCGAACAAGAAGGGGACAUGAUGUGAACUGGCCAGUUGGUUCCCUUCUGGUCCUGGCAGCCUCUUUGUGCCCUGAGGACCCAGCCCUGUGAAACUCACAUGUGUUCUGCUACCACCUGCCCCAGGGCCUUGACACAACCUGUCACCCCUCCUCCACCAUCUUCAUCCUUCCACAUGGCCAGCGGCCCUUUGGUGUCGAUUUCCUUCCCAACUUCAGUGGCACCUUACUGUCAUUUGUCACACUGGACUCUGUCAUUGUGGAGGCCUGGAAAGGGCUUUCUGUGUUUGAAAGGCCAGCUCUUCUGCCAUGGGGCCUCCAGUGUCCAGCCUGGCCUUCGGUGGCAGGUGGCCAGACAGACCUCAAAGUGCUCUGUAACCCAGCAGGGCCAGAAGUGCAACCCCUGGGAGGCCUCUCACGUGUGAGCUUGACACAGGAGAUCGAGUGGCCUAUGUAGCAGGUUCAAGGCCAGCCUGUCCUACAGAGAAGACCCUGUGCCAGAAAACAGAGAGAGUCAGUGAGGGAGAGAGAGCGCAAACUCAGGUUCUUACCAACUGUGACGUGCACCUGGAGGAAGUAGAAGCCCCGGGCCAGGCUCGUGUGGCCCCUGCCCCGCCCAGUCCAGCCAGGGGUCCCCUGAGGCUGUGGUGUGGCCAGGCCGGAGGCAGAGUCCCAGUUCUCACCUUUCUGAGAAAAGAACCCUGAGAGGUCAGGGUCGUCCCUGUCCCCUUCCCUCCACCUGGAAGGUCCUGCCUUGGGGGCAGGGGAUGGAGGAGACAGGUCCCACUGCCCUGGCUUCCGGCCGAGGGGCUGGAGGAUGCGGUGAGAGGCUGGGUGGCCCUGUGUGCCCUCCACCCUGACACAGGCUUGCUCCAGCCAGGACCUCAGGGGCCGCAGUGAGAGGAUUUCAGAGCAGUCUCCCCUUUCAUGCAGUCCCCACCACCCCUGCAUCCUGGCUGAGAGGAGGCCGCUUCCUGGGGUCCGUCAAGGCCUGGCAGCAGAGCCACCACUAUGGUGACAUCAGGUGUGACCUGCGGGUAGGCCCCGCCAGGCAUGGCCACCUGGACGCAUCUGGGAGGGGCAGGAGCUUGGGGGAGGGUGUGAUCACUACCAGCCUUGAGGAGCCUGGGUAAGGUACUCAGGACAGAAGGGCCAGUGAUUGGCCCUUGUCACUUUGCUGCUUCCUGCCCGCCAUGAACUCUUUCUUCCCUGUGUCGCCCCUGUGCCAGGCCACCCUGCCUUGGGGCCAGCCAACCAUGGACUGAAACCUCUACAAACUGUAAGCUAAAUAAACUUUUCCUUCCUUAA